AGAGUUUGAUCCUGGCUCAGGAUGAACGCUAGCUACAGGCUUAACACAUGCAAGUCGAGGGGCAGCAUGGUCUUAGCUUGCUAAGGCCGAUGGCGACCGGCGCACGGGUGAGUAACACGUAUCCAACCUGCCGUCUACUCUUGGACAGCCUUCUGAAAGGAAGAUUAAUACAAGAUGGCAUCAUGAGUCCACAUGUUCACAUGAUUAAAGGUAUUCCGGUAGACGAUGGGGAUGCGUUCCAUUAGGUAGUAGGCGGGGUAACGGCCCACCUAGUCUUCGAUGGAUAGGGGUUCUGAGAGGAAGGUCCCCCACAUUGGAACUGAGACACGGUCCAAACUCCUACGGGAGGCAGCAGUGAGGAAUAUUGGUCAAUGGGCGAGAGCCUGAACCAGCCAAGUAGCGUGAAGGAUGACUGCCCUAUGGGUUGUAAACUUCUUUUAUAAAGGAAUAAAGUCGGGUAUGCAUACCCGUUUGCAUGUACUUUAUGAAUAAGGAUCGGCUAACUCCGUGCCAGCAGCCGCGGUAAUACGGAGGAUCCGAGCGUUAUCCGGAUUUAUUGGGUUUAAAGGGAGCGUAGAUGGAUGUUUAAGUCAGUUGUGAAAGAUUGCGGCUCAACCGUAAAAUUGCAGUUGAUACUGGAUAUCUUGAGUGCAGUUGAGGCAGGCGGAAUUCGUGGUGUAGCGGUGAGAUGCUUAGAUAUCACGAAGAACUCCGAUUGCGAAGGCAGCCUGCUAAGCUGCAACUGACAUUGAGGCUCGAAAGUGUGGGUAUCAAACAGGAUUAGAUACCCUGGUAGUCCACACGGUAAACGAUGAAUACUCGCUGUUUGCGAUAUACUGCAAGCGGCCAAGCGAAAGCGUUAAGUAUUCCACCUGGGGAGUACGCCGGCAACGGUGAAACUCAAAGGAAUUGACGGGGGCCCGCACAAGCGGAGGAACAUGUGGUUUAAUUCGAUGAUACGCGAGGAACCUUACCCGGGCUCAAACGACAGGGGAAUAAUCCCGAAAAGGAUUAGCCAGCAAUGGCCGCUGUCGAGGUGCUGCAUGGUUGUCGUCAGCUCGUGCCGUGAGGUGUCGGCUUAAGUGCCAUAACGAGCGCAACCCUUACCGGUAGUUACUAACAGGUCAAGCUGAGGACUCUACCGGGACUGCCAGCGCAAGCUGUGAGGAAGGUGGGGAUGACGUCAAAUCAGCACGGCCCUUACGUCCGGGGCGACACACGUGUUACAAUGGCAGGUACAGAGAGUCGCGUCGUAGCAAUACGUAGCCAAUCCCGAAAACCUGUCUCAGUUCGGAUCGGAGUCUGCAACUCGACUCCGUGAAGCUGGAUUCGCUAGUAAUCGCGCAUCAGCCAUGGCGCGGUGAAUACGUUCCCGGGCCUUGUACACACCGCCCGUCAAG
rnacentral:rRNA from 1 species